rnacentral:rRNA from 1 species
GCAGUCGAGCGCACUCUUCGGAGUGAGCGGCGGACGGGUUAGUAACGCGUGGGAACGUGCCCUUCUCUAAGGAAUAGCCACUGGAAACGGUGAGUAAUACCUUAUACGCCCUUCGGGGGAAAGAUUUAUCGGAGAAGGAUCGGCCCGCGUUAGAUUAGAUAGUUGGUGGGGUAAUGGCCUACCAAGUCUACGAUCUAUAGCUGGUUUUAGAGGAUGAUCAGCAACACUGGGACUGAGACACGGCCCAGACUCCUACGGGAGGCAGCAGUGGGGAAUCUUGGACAAUGGGCGCAAGCCUGAUCCAGCCAUGCCGCGUGAGUGAUGAAGGCCUUAGGGUCGUAAAGCUCUUUCGCCAGAGAUGAUAAUGACAGUAUCUGGUAAAGAAACCCCGGCUAACUCCGUGCCAGCAGCCGCGGUAAUACGGAGGGGGUUAGCGUUGUUCGGAAUUACUGGGCGUAAAGCGUACGUAGGCGGAUUAGUAAGUUAGAGGUGAAAUCCCAGGGCUCAACCUUGGAACUGCCUUUAAUACUGCUAGUCUUGAGUUCGAGAGAGGUGAGUGGAAUUCCAAGUGUAGAGGUGAAAUUCGUAGAUAUUUGGAGGAACACCAGUGGCGAAGGCGGCU